CAUGCUGAAAGCUCACACAAAAGCAUGAGUCUUCAAGGGUGUCCACCCACCAUCAUUGUUGAUAUGUUAUGCUCUGAGAUCAGCACUAAGCUUCCUGUUUUUCUGCAAAAAGCCUCUCCAAGAUUUUGCUAGCACUAUUUUAAAAGCCUGGGAUUACGCACAGGACCAAUCUGUUUAAUGAACCACAUCACUUUUGCAGCUUUGUCUUCUGACUGUGGCUAGUGUCCUGAAAAAGCUGGAAUUGCUGACUGCCUUAGGCCUUACAACAAGGAACCCAAGUCCAGUCCCAGAGGUGCCGUGGGACUCUGGGCUGAAGGAGAUGAAUGAGACCUGGAAAGGAGGGAUUGCUUGCCUUGGAGUGGCUGUGUUCUUUGUGAUGACCAUUGGGAUUAUUUACUGGCAAGUGGUGGAUCAGCCCAGCAAAAACUGGAUCCUGAAAGGGAGCACCAGCGGGCUUCUGUGGGAACGCAAGGCUCGCUCCCUCAUCCUACAGACCCUCAAGGAAGAGAAAACCAUGUUGGAAAUUCACAUGGGAAGCUUCCCAAACAUGGAUGUGCCUUUCCUGAAGGACCUGUGUUGGCUGAACAAGACCGAGUUCUGCUCCACCUGGGAAGCCAUGGCAGACUUGACCAUCUCCUUGGGCCCCAGCCUUGCUUCCAACACAGACUGCUACAGCAUCAAUUGGAGUCCUCUUCACUGCCAAGUUAAGCUAAAGGACUGUUUUUCUAUGCUCAAUAUUUCCUGGUAUGGAGGAGCAACUGUGAAGAGCCAACACUGGCCUCUGAACAAUGUGAAAAUCAAGUCCCAACCAUUCAUUAUCAGCAAUCUUACCAAAAGCCCCAGUUCCUAUGGAUCUGUCCUAGAAAGGUACUUCUUGGGAUCUACUGGGGUGACAGUGACGAUUGCCUCCGAUAUUCCUAUCUCCAUCUCGAUAGAGAGGAACAAACAGUUUUGCCUUGAGAGCCCCAUUGGCACUGACAUGGCCUCCCUGCAGUAUACUUUGUGUGUCAAUCCAAACAUCACUUCUGCCCAUCAGAAAGUGGGAAGCCAACUUUCAGAACAACAGAGAAGGCUGCCAGAGAUGAAUCUACUUCGAUUGCCUGUCUGGAGGUAUAAUGGAGCAGCAGAUUCUGCUGCCAAAAUGGAGCAAGGAUUAAGAUCUUUCUUCAAUAAAUUGCAAAGGCAUCUCGUGGAAGGGCUAAUCAUUCUCAGCGAACAUUCCACAACGCUACUUCGUAACAUGGACCACACAUAUUUGCCUGCUGUGAGAAGAAAAAGGCUGCACACACUAAGACUUGACAUGGACUAUUCACUUAUAAAACCUCUAAAACUUUCCAUAACUGUGUCCCCUCAUGCAAGCAUCAACUCCCGUCUUUUUCAGAUGUCUCUGCAGGAAGGCAAAGAAGACUUUUGGUUAAGCCAUCAUUCAAAAUCGGGUGAUUAUAUGGUGCCACUGCUUACCAGGUGGAAGGGGCAGUUUUCUGCUCGUCUGAAUGUAACCAGUCAAGCAGCUGUGCUCUGGUACAUGGACCAAGUGAGACUCUUGAAGCAACAGUUGGGAGCAGAGUAUGUAGCUUUUGAAGGUGGUGAAGGCAACUUAUUUAUGGAGCAAGCCAUCCCACCUCCCACAGAACUCAGUGGGGACAAGUACAUCUACAUUCUGGCCAUGUUGGCAGCUACACUGGGAAAUACAUCAAUAAUUAGUGCUGCCACAAGGGUUAGCCACCUUCCACUCUUUCUCCAAAUGAACCCACGUCAAUCUGAUUGGAGCUACGCUGGUUUAAAAGGGAUUAUUCCAUCUGUGCUUCACUACAGCCUUCUUGGCUACAACUUUUUCAUUCCAGAUGCAAUAGGAGGGACUCUUACAAGUGGAUUUUUGACUGAUGAAGAACUGUAUAUUAGAUGGCUCCAGAUUGUGACUUUUCUUCCUGUGAUGUCUUUCAGCACUCCACCAUGGGUCUGUUGUGAUGACUGGGUGCUGAAUCUCACCAGGCACUACAUCCAAAGGCACCAGAAUUUUGUGGUACCCCUCAUUGAAAAGUACAGCAAGGAAUGGCUCUCCAUGGGAUACCCUGUUUUCCGACCCAUAUGGUGGCUCAGCCCCACUGAUCCAAUCACUUUUACCAUUGAUGAUGAAUUCCUCAUAGGAGAUGAGCUGGACGACCAGUAGCCAGGAGGACUGACUCUGUUCCUUCACAACCACCUGGCCCCAGAGGACCACUGGAAGGUCCAAGAGGAUGCCCCUUUCUUCCUUCAGGUACUUGUUGCCCCAAUAACAGAACAAGGGCAAAGUCAAAGAGACAUCUACCUGCCCAGAAAAGGUCAGAAGUGGAUGGACACUAACACUGCUGAAGUUUUUGAUGGAGGGAC